CAGUAGCCACGGUAAUACGAACCGUGCGAACGUUAUUCGGAAUCACUGGGCUUAAAGCGCGUGUAGGCGGGCCGCCACGUCGGCUGCUGAAAUCCCCCGGCUCAACCGGGGAAGUGGUACCGAUACGAGCGGCCUCGAGGGGGGUAGGGGGCACUGGAACUUCCGGUGGAGCGGUGAAAUGCGUUGAGAUCGGAAGGAACGCCCGUGGCGAAAGCGAGUGCCUGGACCCUUUCUGACGCUGAGACGCGAAAGCCAGGGGAGCGAACGGGAUUAGAUACCCGGGUAGUCCCUGUCUCUUAUA
rnacentral:rRNA from 1 species